GGAGGUGUACCAAAGUGGUUACUGGGAAGGACUUGAAUCAGCUUUGAUCGUAAUCCUUUGGGCUCUGCCCGCGUAGGUUCGAACCCUGCCACCUUCG